AGCUGACCUUCAUUAAUGAUUCUGUCAUUUCAUCUGCCCAAGACAUUUGGAAAGUUAUAGCAGAUCUUCUGAAAAAAUCUUUUGCUUUUCUGCAUUCUUUUCAAAUGGCACCAUUCUUUCAUUUCAAAAGUCACAAACUCAUUUUCCCUCUUUCAUGCCAAUAAUCUUAGUCGUUUUAUCUUUUCUUUUACUCUGAAAAUCCCGGGUGAUUUUACUCCAGUUCUUCUCUAAACGAUCUUGAAAUCCCUCACUCUAGGAAUUGUUCCUCACCAUUCUUGAGUGCUUCUUUUGCUAAUUGAUGGGCUUCUGUAUUUUCUGACCUUGGGAUGAAGUAGAAUCUGAUUUAUUGGAAGUGUAUCUUUAAGCUUUGAAUGUCACUGAUAAUUGCUCCUAUUUUUGAUCUUUCGCGGUUUGCAUUUUGACAUUUUGUUAUUACCGUUUUCGAGUCACCUAUUAUGUCCAGAAUAUGAAAACCCAUAUGAAUCCCUAAUUUUGAUGUUUGAAAUCUUGCAUAUGCUUCCGCCGCGAACGGAGAUGCAACGUUAACAUGCAGAAUCGAUUUUGCUGCUACGGUUCUACCCCCUCAUCUUUAGCCACUAGCCCUGAUGCAGAUCUGAAGUUUUGUGGGUCAAAUACAGCAUCGAAAUAGAUAACCACAUUCGCCCUUUGUAUGUUUUGUUUAAGUCUCGCAUUUGCUUCUAAGAUAAGUACCUUGUCCUUUAUACCGUCCAAUUCUGAAAUGUAACUAUUAAUUUGUUUGGAGAUAUCCCAACUGGUGCUUGAUUUGCCUUCAUAUAUUAACUUGUUCCUGUUUGUCCAGAUUAGCCAAAGUCUGCAACAAAAGAUUCUACAUUGUUCAUUCGACCCUUGAUUGAAAACCCAAGGCACAAUCGGAAGAUGUGGUUGCUAUCUUCUUCUCCUUGACGGCAUUCUUAUACAUCGAUCCUCAACUAUCACUCUUCUCAGCUUCAUAUUAGAGAAAGUGGGAAUGUAAUUCCAUGAAAUUUUCCACAUUGUAAUUUUGAUUUCCGAAGGCAUGUAUAAGUUCCACAGUUUCCUGUAAAAAAAUUUAGUACAGCCUGUAUAUAAUUACUAGGAUUCAUUGUAGUAUCCUGUAAUAGUUUAUAGGCACUUCUUACUGAGAAAUUUCCAGAUGACUCCCUUAUCCACACCUGAAAGUCUUCAUGGGCUGACUUUGUUAACGGGAUUUGCAAUAUUUUUCUAGCAAUAUCUGUAUAAAAGGUACGGACAAUCAAGUCGCUCUUCCAA